GACGAACGCUGGCGGCGUGCCUAAUACAUGCAAGUAGAACGCUGAAGGAGGAGCUUGCUUCUCUGGAUGAGUUGCGAACGGGUGAGUAACGCGUAGGUAACCUGCCUGGUAGCGGGGGAUAACUAUUGGAAACGAUAGCUAAUACCGCAUAAUAGUAGAUGUUGCAUGACAUUUACUUAAAAGGUGCAAUUGCAUCACUACCAGAUGGACCUGCGUUGUAUUAGCUAGUUGGUGGGGUAACGGCUCACCAAGGCGACGAUACAUAGCCGACCUGAGAGGGUGAUCGGCCACACUGGGACUGAGACACGGCCCAGACUCCUACGGGAGGCAGCAGUAGGGAAUCUUCGGCAAUGGACGAAAGUCUGACCGAGCAACGCCGCGUGAGUGAAGAAGGUUUUCGGAUCGUAAAGCUCUGUUGUAAGAGAAGAACGAGUGUGAGAGUGGAAAGUUCACACUGUGACGGUAUCUUACCAGAAAGGGACGGCGAACUACGU
rnacentral:rRNA from 1 species